UGUUGUUUUGUUUUGAACUGUGAAUGGUCUCUGAGGUUUUGGUUGCCGUGGAAACUCACUUUUUAAAGGUGAAGAGUCACAGACCUUUGGCCACUCUCUGGCAGGUGAAGCAGUGGCGUCUUCAUGUGACUCUAAUCUCCAGGCUGGAUGGCGCAAGGGGGAUGGCCGCACUCUGUAAAACCCGUCUGUUUGUAAACCAGCCAGGUGUAGAGACCAAAGGAAGUUGUGCUGGCGUCUUACCCUCCUUGGAGGUGGCCUGACCGGGAGAUGCUUGUUGGGAAUCUGGAAGUGGAUCCCUUGGGACACUAGUGGUGAGCAACCCAGGGUGCGCUGGCAGGAGGCCCCGGAUUCCACCCUGUGCACGGAGAAAGCAAGUGGCUAAACAGUUGGCCUAGUCUCCUCAGGACGAAGAGCAGGACCCUGGACUCAUCUUCAGAGAGCUGCCUCCAAAGCCCCUAGCUGGGAACACUCCAAGUGUGGACAGAACAGCGGCUCUUCCCCAAGGAGCAACCUUUGCUACAGUGGAGGCCUGGGGACACUUGAGUGACUGUCUUAGUUAGGGUUUCAAUUGUCGUGCUGAUACACCAUGGUUAAACGGAAGUUGGGGAGAAAUUGAUUUAUUUGGCUACUCUUCCACACUGUAGUCUCUCACUGAAGGAAGUCAGGGGAGGAACUCAAACUCGACAGGCACCUGGAGGCAGGAACUGAUGCAGAGGCCGUGGAGGGGAGCUUCUGGCUUGCUCCUCAUGGCUUGCUCAGCCUUUGAUAGAGAACCCAGGGCCAUCUGCCCAGAAGUGGCACCACCCACCAUAGGCUGGGCCCUCCCCAUCAAUCACUAAUUAAGUAAAUACCUUACAGCUGGAUCUUAUGGAGGCAUUUUCUCCUUUGAGGUUCCCUCCUCUCAGAUGACUCUCGCUUGUGUCGAGUUGAUAUAAAAGUAAGCAGGACCCUGUCCCCUGCUUGUGUUCUUCAUUCUCAGACUGUUUCUCUGAUUGCUUGACAAUGUUGGUCUAAAGAAAGAUUUUUUUUUUUUAACCAGCAUCUCCUGUGUCUCAGGCUGGUCUCAAAUGUAGCCAAGUAUGACCUUCAGAAACUCCUGAUCGUCCUGUCUCCACUUCCUGAGCGCUGGGAUUACAUGUAUGCUUCUUCAUGCUGCUUGUGGUUCUGAGGAUGGAACCAAGGGCCUUGUAUAUGCUAGGUAUUUGGGAGAUGAAGAAAAGAAACACUGGGGACCCCUUUCCCAGCCCCUCUUGCUAAUCCCACCCUACUGCUGUCUUCUCCGCACGCACCCCUACAUUCCUAAAGACACGCAGAAUUCUUGAAAGAUGAGCGUCCGCUCUGAAGACGUAAUCCUGAGAGACUAACGAAAGGAAAUGAUUUCAAAGAAACCCGGUGUUUCUUCUCCACUGGGUUGAUGUACGUUUCCCUAGAAUCAGCAUCUGCGCGUCAUUCUCCUCCAUGAUCAUAUCAAGAUGACAGCCUCUUUCACUGACAUUCACCCUCAAGGUAUCCUUGUGGACAAACUGGGAGACCUGGUCACCCAGGAAAUGGAAAGAAACAUCGGGAGCCCGAGUUGAACUCAGGAGUCUGGACCAUGCCUCAGGGUGUUUGCUGUUCCUGACUCAUAGCUAAAUCAUAGUUACUAGGGGACAGUUACAAGGUGCUCAUCUGUCCCAGUUUCCCAGCAUUUCCUGGGUUAGCCUCUAGGUUUCUAGGACUCCAUGGCAGCCCAGGAAAGACCGAGGCCUUCACAUCCCACCCUCAGUUCAAGGCAAGUCACCUGAACUUAAAAACAUUGUAACAUGAUGGGCUGGCUUGUUGUGGUUUCUAUUCUGCCCGGUUUCCACAACUGUUUAGCACCAAAGAAAAUCACACAGUGGCCUCCAUAAGCUAUAAAGCUGAUUGGCCCAUUAGCUCAGGUUU